UUGGAGGGCAAGUCUGGUGCCAGCAGCCGCGGUAAUUCCAGCUCCAAUAGCGUAUAUUAAAGUUGUUGCAGUUAAAAAGCUCGUAGUUGAAUUUCGGGGUUCUACCGUUGGUCGGGCUAACCAGUCUGUACUAGCGUGUAGAAUCCCUACCUUCUGGGGAACCAUCAUGUUAUUAAUUUAGCGUGGUGGGAAACCAGGACCUUUACCUUGAAAAAAUUAGAGUGUUCAAAGCAGGCUUACGUCUGAAUACAUUAGCAUGGAAUAAUAAAAUAGGACGUUGAUCCUUA
rnacentral:rRNA from 1 species